GACGAGGCACUACGGUGCUGAAGUAACAAAUGCCCUGCUUCCAGGAAAAGCCUCUAAGCAUCAGGUAACACGAAAUCGUACCCCAAACCGACACAGGUGGUCAGGUAGAGAAUACCAAGGCGCUUGAGAGAACUCGGGUGAAGGAACUAGGCAAAAUGGUGCCGUAACUUCGGGAGAAGGCACGCUGAUAUGUAGGUGAAGUGGUUUACCCAUGGAGCUGAAAUCAGUCGAAGAUACCAGCUGGCUGCAACUGUUUAUUAAAAACACAGCACUGUGCAAACACGAAAGUGGACGUAUACGGUGUGACGCCUGCCCGGUGCCGGAAGGUUAAUUGAUGGGGUUAUCCGUAAGGAGAAGCUCUUGAUCGAAGCCCCGGUAAACGGCGGCCGUAACUAUAACGGUCCUAAGGUAGCGAAAUUCCUUGUCGGGUAAGUUCCGACCUGCACGAAUGGCGUAAUGAUGGCCAGGCUGUCUCCACCCGAGACUCAGUGAAAUUGAACUCGCUGUGAAGAUGCAGUGUACCCGCGGCAAGACGGAAAGACCCCGUGAACCUUUACUAUAGCUUGACACUGAACACUGGUCCUUGAUGUGUAGGAUAGGUGGGAGGCUUUGAAGCGUGGACGCCAGUCUGCGUGGAGCCAACCUUGAAAUACCACCCUUUAAUGGCUGGUGUUCUAACGUAGACCCGUUACCCGGGUUGCGGACAGUGUCUGGUGGGUAGUUUGACUGGGGCGGUCUCCUCCUAAAGAGUAACGGAGGAGCACGAAGGUUAGCUAAUCCUGGUCGGACAUCAGGAGGUUAGUGCAAAGGCAUAAGCUAGCUUGACUGCGAGAGUGACGGCUCGAGCAGGUGCGAAAGCAGGUCUUAGUGAUCCGGUGGUUCUGAAUGGAAGGGCCAUCGCUCAACGGAUAAAAGGUACUCCGGGGAUAACAGGCUGAUACCGCCCAAGAGUUCAUAUCGACGGCGGUGUUUGGCACCUCGAUGUCGGCUCAUCACAUCCUGGGGCUGAAGUAGGUCCCAAGGGUAUGGCUGUUCGCCAUUUAAAGUGGUACGCGAGCUGGGUUUAGAACGUCGUGAGACAGUUCGGUCCCUAUCUGCCGUGGGCGCUGGAGAAUUGAGGGGGGCUGCUCCUAGUACGAGAGGACCGGAGUGGACGCAUCACUGGUGUUCGGGUUGUCAUGCCAAUGGCAUUGCCCGGUAGCUAAAUGCGGAAAAGAUAAGUGCUGAAAGCAUCUAAGCACGAAACUUGCCCCGAGAUGAGUUCUCCCUGAGACUUUAAGUCUCCUGAAGGAACGUUAAAGACUAUGACGUUGAUAGGUCGGGUGUGUAAGUGUAGCGAUACAUUGAGCUAACCGAUACUAAUGAACCGUGAGGCUUAACCUU
rnacentral:rRNA from 1 species